GACAGAGGGUGCGAACGUUGUUCGGAAUUACUGGGCGUAAAGCGCAUGUAGGCGGCAGCGCAAGUCGGGCGUGAAAUCCCACGGCUCAACCGUGGAAGUGCACUCGAAACUGCGCAGCUAGAGUCCUGGAGAGGAAGGUGGAAUGCUUGGUGUAGAGGUGAAAUUCGUAGAUAUCAAGCGGAACACCGGUGGCGAAGGCGGCCUUACUGGACAGUGACUGACGGCUGAGAGUG
rnacentral:rRNA from 1 species